AAGACAAAAAGAUUAUUAUUGUUCAAUCAGGUUUCGUACGUCAAGAAAAGUGUAUCAUUAUAGUGCUCAUGUAGUGUAAUUAUAUAGUGUACCAAAAGUGCUUCAUCAACGAGGAGUUUGAUUAAUCUUCGAUGGAUUCCAUCUAAUCUUUUGAUCACGUUGUGUACAACGCUGCCAUUGUGUGUCAGAUGCUGUUGCGCUGACAGAUCGACGGAACUGUGUCGCGAAGAAGCCACGAGGUCGACGGAAAAGUCAGGUGGCAAAACGUGUAGCUGUUAAACUUUGCUGCUGAUAUCGCCGGCCAAUGUGCUCUUUACGACGUGAGAUGGUAUGUAUCAUGGUUUAGUAUCACUACAGGAUAUUUUAUUCUUUUUUAUAGUUACGUCAUUCGUGUUUCGCGCUAUAUAAGGUUUUUCAUAACGGCAUGCUCUUUACGCGAAUCCCCGUUUCCUGUCUUGUAUGUUUUUUUUUUGCAUCUCUUUUAUCGCACUCUUCACCAAUCUUCUCUCCGUUUGUCUCACGUUUUGCAUUCAA